GGCUCCUUGUGAUUUAUAGAUAGGGAGUCGGACCUGCCCAGUGAAUUUUUUUAACGGCCGCGGUACUCUGACCGUGCAAAGGUAGCAUAAUCAUUUGCCUUAUAAUUGAAGGCUUGUAUGAAUGGUUUGACAAGAGAGUAGCUGUCUCUUUAUAAUUAAAUGGAAUUUUAUUUUCAGGUGAAGAAGCCUGAGUAAUAUUGAAAGACAAGAAGACCCUAUCGAGCUUUAAAAAAGUUAAUAAAUUUUAGAUAUCUUAAUGUUAUAUAAAAAAUCAUUUAUUAAAAAUUUUGGUUGGGGCGACUGAGGAACAAAUAAAGCUUCCUUUAAUUAAAAAACAAUCAGGUAUUGAUCCAAAAAAUUUGAUUAAAGAAUUUAGUUACCGUAGGGAUAACAGCAUUAUCUUUUUUGAGAGUUCUAAUCGAAAAAGAGGUUUGUGACCUCGAUGUUGGACCAGAAUAUCCUGAAGAUGCAGCCGUCUUCAAGGGUUGGUCUGUUCGACCAUUAAAAUUCUACGUGAUCUGAGUUCAGACCGGCGUGAGCCAGGUCAGUUUCUAUCUUCAAUUUAUGAAAUAAGUUUAGUACGAAAGGACCAGUUUAUUGCAAACAAUUGUUUUAUUUGAUAAUAUAUAACAGAAUAUUGAAUUAAGUAACAUCAGAUUAGCAAAAUUAAUGCAAUUGACUUAGGCUCAAUAGACAUAGGUGAAAUUCCUUUAUUUGAUAUAAUACAAAAUAAAGAUGGCAGAAGAA
rnacentral:rRNA from 1 species